CUCAGAGAUGUUCUUCAUCACCCCACCUGGGAAAUCAGUGCAUGGGCAGCUGAAGAACUCUAUGUUGCUGGGAAUCCUGGAGAGGCCAUGCCCAAGCCAGCGGAAGGGAGGAUGAAAGGCGUGUGGGUUAAAUACUCCCAGGUCCCAGCCCAGAGAUAGGACCCUCCCUCCUGGGCCUGGAGUGAGCCUGCCUAAGGCAACAGUCCAGCUGAGUUCUUUCUACUUGCAACCCAGCC
rnacentral:lncRNA from 1 species